rnacentral:rRNA from 1 species
CCUACGGGUGGCAGCAGUGGGGAAUAUUGGGCAAUGGGCGCAAGCCUGACCCAGCAACGCCGCGUGAAGGAAGAAGGCUCUCGGGUUGUAAACUUCCUUUAAGAGGGAAGAGCAGAAGACGGUACCUCUUGAAUAAGCCACGGCUAACUACGUGCCAGCAGCUGCGGUAAUACGUAGGUGGCAAGCGUUGUCCGGAUUUACUGGGUGUACAGGGCGUGUAGCCGGGCUGACAAGUCAGAUGUGAAAUUCCGGGGCCCAACCCCGGACCUGCAUUUGAAACUGUUGGUCUUGAGUAUCGGAGUGGCAGGCGGAAUUCGUAGUGUAGCGGUGAAAUGCGUAGAUAUUAGGCAGAACACCAGUGGCGAAGGCGGCCUGCUGGACGACAACUGACGGUGAGGCGCGAAAGCGUGGGGAGCGAACAGGAUUAGAUACCCCUGUAGUC